GAUAAACGCUGGCGGCGUGCUUUAUGCAUGCAAGUCGUACGGUCCAAUCCGCAAGGAAAGGACAGUGGCAAACGGGUGAGCAAUACGUAGGUAACCUGCCCUAAAGCGGGGGAUAACUUCGGGAAACUGAGGCUAAAACCGCAUGUGGUUCUCUACCAUAAGGUGGGGAACUAAAACCGCAAGGUGCUUUUGGAGGGGCCUACGUCCGAUUAGCUAGUUGGUGGGGUAAUAGCCUACCAAGGCGUCGAUCGGUAGCUGGUCUGAGAGGACGACCAGCCACACGGGGACUGAGACACGGCCCCGACUCCUACGGGAGGCAGCAGCAAGGGAUUUUGCGCAAUGGGCGAAAGCCUGACGCAGCAACGCCGCGUGAGGGAUGAAGGCCUUCGGGUCGUAAACCUCUUUUCUCAGGGAGGAAAACUGACAGUACCUGAGGAAUAAGUCACGGCUAACUACGUGCCAGCAGCCGCCGUAACAC
rnacentral:rRNA from 1 species